UAGAGUUUGAUCCUGGCUCAGAUUGAACGCUGGCGGCAUGCCUAACACAUGCAAGUCGGACGGCAGCGCGGGCUUCGGCCUGGCGGCGAGUGGCGAACGGGUGAGUAAUGCAUGGGAAUCUGCCCUGUCGUGGGGGAUAACGUAGGGAAACUUACGCUAAUACCGCAUACGACCUUAGGGUGAAAGCGGGGGACCGAUGAGGCCUCGCGCGAUGGGAUGAGCCCAUGUCGGAUUAGCUAGUUGGUGGGGUAAGGGCCUACCAAGGCGACGAUCCGUAGCUGGUCUGAGAGGAUGAUCAGCCACACUGGGACUGAGACACGGCCCAGACUCCUACGGGAGGCAGCAGUGGGGAAUAUUGGACAAUGGGCGCAAGCCUGAUCCAGCAAUGCCGCGUGGGUGAAGAAGGCCUUCGGGUUGUAAAGCCCUUUUGUACGGGAAGAAAUCCUGCUCGCUAAUACCGGGUGGGGAUGACGGUACCGUAAGAAUAAGCACCGGCUAACUUCGUGCCAGCAGCCGCGGUAAUACGAAGGGUGCGAGCGUUAAUCGGAAUUACUGGGCGUAAAGCGUGCGUAGGUGGUUGGUUAAGUCCGAUGUGAAAGCCCUGGGCUCAACCUGGGAAUGGCAUUGGAUACUGGCUGGCUGGAGUGCGGUAGAGGGUAGCGGAAUUUCCGGUGUAGCGGUGAAAUGCGUAGAGAUCGGAAGGAACACCCGUGGCGAAGGCGGCUACCUGGACCAGCACUGACACUGAGGCACGAAAGCGUGGGGAGCAACAGGAUUAGAUACCCUGGUAGUCCACGCCC
rnacentral:rRNA from 1 species